rnacentral:sRNA from 1 species
GACAGGCCUCGUCCUACCUGUCUUCACCUGUAUAAUGACAUCAUCCUAUAGCUGAUCAAUUAAACAUUACAGGUAGUGAGUGAUUUCUCAGGAAGAGUGGGAAAUACUCGGGGGCAGAAUUGAGCCUGCGGUAUCAGUGUGAAGAAGGUAGAAGGCUCUCACAGUUUUCUAGUCAAACUCGUCAGCUUUGUUAUACCGAGUGAGCACACACCACGAAAGUGCAAAUAAUAUGCAUUUCCCAUCUCUGUCCACCAAGACGCCCCUGAAACAUCCCAGUAACAUCCCUGUCCGGAUGCCAAUUUCUAAAUAUUAUCCUCCCGUAAAGAGAACUCAUUAGAAUUUAUAUAUGGCUGCCUCCCCCAGUUGGGAGGCAGAGGCAGGUGGAUCUCUGUGAGUUUGAGGGCAGCCUGGUGGUCUACAGAGUUCCAGGACAGCCAGGGAUACCCAGAGAAACCCUGUCUGGAAAAACAAAACAAAGCAAAAAACUGGAUUCCUGGAUUGGGCAGAGAAAUUUUCAAAAUACACUGGAAUAUCUUACUCCUUUUUUUGCACAGAGGAGUGGGUAUAUUUGUAUUUCCUUGAGUCCCACUGGUUCCUAGAGAUCAGGUGCUCCAGCUGUGUAGGGCUCCACCGUGAGGAAUCUGAUGUGAAGGACAAAUUAGGAAGUGUUUGAGGGAUGAUGGGAGGAGGAGGGGCAUGCCCAAGGACGGAGGAGUGAUCUCUGCUUCUUCUGGCCAACAUGGGCAAGUUAAGAAACUAAUGCUGGGAAUGGAUUGUAAACUCUGGAAAGGAAAAGCUAUGAACUUAUAAUAAUGCAAACAAAUGAAUUAGUAAAUAGGCAGAGAGAAGCGACUCCUGCCUGUACCCUCACACCGUUCCAGGGAUUGACCUAUCCGCACAGUGAGUAAAUGAGAAAUAGGAAGUUAUGGACACUCAAAAGCUGGGAUCCGGUACACUGGGCUCCCCCAUAGGGAAGCCACAGUACCCCAGAAGGACAGCGUGUUUGUUUUCAAUUAAACAUGGAAGUGGGGUUAUUAAAUGCAACAUGCGCAUGCAAACACACACAGAGAGAGAGAGAGAGAGAGAGAGAGAGAGAGAGAGAGAGAGAGAGAGAGAGAGAGAGAGAGAGGUUUAGCUAAUCUCAGUAGGCACAGUAUACAGGGGAGUCUUCAGGCAAUAAAUAAUCAGGAUGAGAAAGCUACGGUGAACAUUUUCUGCACAUGUUAUCAACAUCCACACUUGGAUCAUUUGCCCUCUGGGCUGAGGCGUGGGAUUCCUUAACACAGUCAUGCCAUGACAACAACAUAGAUCCAUUCAAGACAUCAUUCAUUCAGGGCUCCCCACUCCCCACUCUGUGCAGUAGAACUGCAGUGUAAACGAAAACAGGCCAAUACAAAAGGAAGUACUUGUUCCUGUAGAGGGAGGUGGUGUCGAUUCCCUAAUUGGUUCUCGAUUGUGUCAAUAAAGGAGGCAGAAGCCAAUUGCUGGGCGAAGGGGGAAGGGUGGGACUUCAGGAUGGAAGGGAAGGGACACAGGGAAAGAGGAUUUCGGACCAGGCUUUGGAUCCCGGAGGAAGCUGCAGUCAUGUAGGUCAUAGGGCCCCUAGAGUUUGUAGCCUCCUUGUUGAGCAGGGGCCGAGGAGGACGGAGGGAGGCAUCUAGUUGAUAAGAUUAGGGCGGGAAAUUCUUCGCCCAGCCAUUGAGCUAUCUGGCUAGUUUUAAAAUAAUAAAAGUAGUCUCCCAUCCGUGGGACUGAGGUGGGCAGGAGGAGAAAGAGUGUUGGCAGCUUGGCGAAGCUAUCUCUGAGGGGUUGCAGGGAGUAGUUGCAAUUCCAGGGAGGAAAAAUGGCCUCUGGCUGUUGGCGGAGCUGAGUGAAAAUCUCUGAGCCUAUCCUGGAGCGCAGGCAGAGCUCCCAAGAAGGGGGAAGUGUGGGGGAAGUGUGCGAGUGUGUGUGUGUGUGUGUGUGUGUGUGUGUGUGUGUGUGUGUGUGUGUGUGUGUGUGUUUAAAUUACAUGCAACAAAUUCAAGUAUUGUACAAUCAAAGUACUUCCCUAGUGGAGUUUAUGAACUUUAAAUUGUUAGCAUGAUUCUGUUCUAAGAGUGUAAUGAGUUUUCCCAUCUUUUUUGUUAAAAUCCAGUAUUGUCGUUUUCUAUUGCUGUUCUUAUAAAUCACCAGAAGUGGGACUUAAUACCUACAAAUGUAUCAUUACACAGGACUACAGAUUCCAACUGUCAUUAAACUAAAACCAAGGUGUUUGUGUUUCUUUCUGAGGUUCUCGGGACUGGUUUAUUUUCCUGCCUUUCUGUAUUAAAGGCAGCUUGCAUCUCUUGGUUUGUAUACUCUCCUCCAUGUUCAAACACUGAUGGACAGUUAAAUUAUUCUCAUACCACAUUUCUCUAAUACUGUUUCUUCUUUCUCGCUUUCACUCCUGAGGACCCUCAUCGAUUCAGACAGCCACCUUACAGCCCUCCUGAGAGAACCCUGCUGCAGAGAACCCUGGAGCACAGUGACGGACCAGAAAGCCAGCCGUGCAACGUGCGCUGCCUUCUCGCAGAUGGAUGCAAACUGAGGGCUGUCCCGGCAUGAGGGAAAUGUGUAACGACAGAAGACUGUGGCCUUGUAUCCCAGGACCAACCAAUGCAGGAGGAUUGGUCAGGUAGAAUCCAUUUUGGAGCUUAACAGCAAAAAGCAUUAUGCUAUGUAAUAUCCCUUUGCCCCAGCUUCCCUCUCCCUGGCUUGCAUCUGCCCUCCUAUCUCUUGUCUCUUCACAGCAUCUUCACCUUACAUGUAUUUCUACAUCCAGUUUUCCCGCUCUUCCUGGUACCAAUCACAGUGGCUUAGGGACAACCAUCUUAAUGACAACCUUUUCAUUUAAUUGCCAUCGAAGUCCUGCCUCCAGGCCCAGUCACCCUCAGGAACCAAUGGACUGCUUAACAAACCAUGAAACAACUAACCAACGACCUAGCCCACCUCGUGGGCUCUAGCAUUUACGUACCCUCUGAGAAGUCCUCGGAAUUCCAAAUGUCACACAUUUGCAGAAACGAUCUGCAGCCAGAGAAAUCACCAUGCCCGAGACCUUCCGUUGUUACGGUGAUGGCUAAUCUUGGUUAUCAACUUGACUACAUCUAGAAUCAACUAAAACCCAAGCAACUCCACACACCUGUGAGGGAUUUUUUUUUUUUUCAAUUGGAUCAUUUGAGGUGGAAAAUCUGGUUCAAAUCUGGUAGCAGCCCACAAAAAAGGACAUGGAAGGAGGAAACUUUUGAUUUUUGCCUGCUUGCCUUCACUCUUACUAGCAAGUACAUCUGCCUUGUUGCUUCUUCGGGAUUCCAAUACAGACUGAAGACUAGCAGCUCUCUAGGACUCCAGCACCAAAGUGGGACUUUGGAGACAUCCAAUCUCUUGGACUUUCUGUUUAGAAGUGCCCACCAUCAGACCCCAACCUGUAACCACUCUAAUAAAUUUGAUAAAUUUUGUCCCCCAA